rnacentral:rRNA from 1 species
UACGGGGGGGGGCAAGCGUUGUUCGGAAUUAUUGGGCGUAAAGGGCGCGUAGGCGGCCUGGCAAGUGGAAGGUGAAAUCCCUCGGCUUAACCGAGGAACUGCCCUCCAAACUGCUUGGCUUGAGACCGGGAGAGGUGAGUGGAAUUCCCAGUGUAGCGGUGAAAUGCGUAGAUAGUUGGGAGGAACACCCGUGGCGAAGGCGGCUCUCUGGGACGGUACUGACGCUGAGACGCGAAAGCGUGGGGAGCGAACAGG